GCCUCGGUAGCGUAGUGGUCAAGACGCUCGCCUGGUAAACAGGAGGGCGUGGGUUCAAUCCCAGCUGAGGCA
rnacentral:tRNA from 1 species